ensembl:miRNA MIR5687 microRNA 5687
CCUCACUUAUCUGACUCUGAAAUCUUCUAAAUGGUACCCACUUUAUUUAGAACGUUUUAGGGUCAAAUAAGUACAGG